UUAUUACAUGAUUACACGUGUCGUUAUAUCAUAGCUUUGUGACGGGAUCUAUGUCUGGUCGGUCGUGAAGUUAUCAUCGCCUCUUUCCUUUAGUGAUCUGCUUCUCACUCUCACUACUCUCUCUUUGGAUCGUGGGGGUUUAAGCUGAUUCUGUGCCCUAAAAUUUGGCGCCUUUCCACUUCGAUUGGGUUUCUUUGCUCUCUGGGGUUUCAACAAUGGGGAAGGCUUCUUCUCCGGUAGCGAGAGGAGAAUGAAUUAAAAACGAUUUUUGAUUCCAAAGGAAUGCGCUUUUCGUUGAGUUUGAUUCAAGAGAAUGGUUCUUCUACAUGCUACGCAUUGCAAAGUAUUAAUAAAGGUUGUUGUUGAAUAUGACCUAUGGAGACGGGGAGGGUGGAAGUCAACGGAGAGAUUCACAACGCGGAAGCAAUGACUUUGCCUAUGCGCUCGCUAGAAUGGCCGUGGCGCAGAUAUGCGAAGGGGUCGAGAUCAGAACUCUCCAGGACUCGCAUUCACGGGAAGGUGCGAGGUUCAGUUCUUUUCAAGAGUCUGCGCUCGAGAGACUGACAGAUGUAGUGAUACAGUAUAUUCAAAGCGUUGGGAGGACGGCGCAGUUUUAUGCUAAUAUGGCUGGGAGAGGGGAAGGUAAUGCUUUGGAUGUUGUUCAGGCGCUGGAGGAUUUGGGAGCUGGAUUGGGUUUCAACGGUGCUCAUGAUGUUGAGCGUUGUCUUGGUGACUCCGAUGUGGUUAAGGAUAUUGUUCGGUAUACAGGUGAAGCUGAGGAGAUGCCCUUUGUUUAUUCUCUUCCUCGUUUUCCUUUUAAGAAAGGGAAGAGACGAGCUCCUAGCUUCUCUGGGAUUGGAGGAGAGAUGGCGGAUGAGCAUAUUCCGGUUUGGCUUCCUGCUUUUCCGGAAACCAAGUCUAAGGAGGUUGAGGAGACUAAUACUGAGAAAGUAGGAGAGGUGAAGAGCAAAGAAAAUGGACUGUCUUUGCCGAGUAUGCAACAGUCUUUGGAUGUUGAUAGAUUAAAAGUUCAGAAAUCCAUGGAACAAGAGGAUGUUCAGGAGCCAGCAGAGGAACCGGAGGGUAAUCCAUUCCUUGCUGCACCAGUUUGGGUCAGCGAGAAGGACGUGCCACGUGUGUUUUGCCCGUCAGAGCCUACAAAUGAAGAAGAUAGCAUUGGCCACGUUCCUGAGAAACAAAAGAACAUUCCACCCCCUGAGGCACAUGCUCCACCUGGUAUGAUCAACGACGAGAGCAGAUUAGGUGGAACGGAGGAUGGACAGAAAACACAACGAGCUUUGCUCCGUUUCAAGAUUGGAACUCGAAAGGCCUCUAUGUGUUGGACGAUAAAGCAGAGCUUAGAAGAUAAGGGUUGGUUUCUAGAGGACGGAGACAAGAGGGAGAAGAAGGUGGAACGCGAAGAGAAACUCGAAACCAUUGACACAGAUGUAAAAUAGGCAAUAUUAGCAAUGGAAAAGCUGCCUGGGUUGCCCACUGAGCUUAUUUCCUGGAAACGCUGCAACCUCACUUGUCACGACUUCACUUAUCAAGUCCUUGAAAAUUAGCCUCUCUAUGUCUAACACUAACCCCGGUGUCUCUCCUUCAAUCUCCUUCCAGUUCAUGCCUUGGCUUUGCAGGUCCUCCCAAAUGAGGUCUUCAUCAUCCUCGUCCAAAAUACAGUUUGAGUUAUCUUGUAAUCGAUCAAUCUCUGAACACAGAGCUUCCAGAAGUUCUUUCCCUCUUGAGCUUUUGUCUGUUUUCAUUAGCGGGCUGAUGGAUGAUGUUAUGUAUGGCUGCUUGGUACACCCUUCUGCUGCGAAUUUGCGAGCUAAGAUCUCGUUGACGGUGUCAAACACGAGCUUCCUCCUGCUUCUCCCUAUCAGGACAAAGAAAAGGCUCGGAUUGAUUGGUAGGUGUGCUUGGUGCAGCUGAAUGCUUAGCAUGCUGUAGUCGAUGUCCUUAAGAAGCCCUGAUGCUGACAGUAUCUCUGAGAUGUACUUGCGGUCACCAUUUCUUAGGUCUGCACCUUCUUCCAUGAAACUCUCAGUAAGUACAGCAUCAGGCUGAUUUAGACUCGUGUUACUCUCAGGCCACACAAUCGAUCUACAUAAGUUGUUGUGCUUCUUCAUCCACAGGGACUCUUCAGAACGUAUAUGAUCGUCGUCUGUGGCAAGAGAAAUAGUAAAGGGGAUGGUGACUCAUCAUCGUCGAAGGCUACAUCAAGAAUAGAAACCGGGCUGGGCUGCUCCACCGUAAUCUUCAGAGGCUUUGGCAGAGAUCUCAUUCCAAGUUCUGGACUCUGCAUUGGUGAAACAUGUAUUAGCAAAUAAACUAAGAAGUGAAUUUGCAUUUAGGAGAAAAGUUUAUACCCUUUGUUUUGGUGUGUGCUGCUCCGUUAAGUCACAUUUAUGUCUGCUUGUAACCUCAAUGUCAAAGUUAGAAGCCGAGCU